rnacentral:rRNA from 1 species
UACGUAGGGUGCGAGCGUUGUCCGGAAUUAUUGGGCGUAAAGAGCUUGUAGGUGGUUUGUCGCGUCUGCUGUGAAAAUCCGAGGCUCAACCUCGGACUUGCAGUGGGUACGGGCAGACUAGAGUGUGGUAGGGGAGAUCGGAAUUCCUGGUGUAGCGGUGAAAUGCGCAGAUAUCAGGAGGAACACCGGUGGCGAAGGCGGAUCUCUGGGCCGUAACUGACGCUGAGGAGCGAAAGCAUGGGUAGCGAACAGG